UAACCAUUGCCAUUCAAUAUUCACAUAUGAAUCGGGUCAGGUCUUGAGUGAAGCAGCCAUAAGUACAGCGAGUAUGUGGAUGGCAAUGGUUAAUG
rnacentral:SRP_RNA from 1 species